GGUGAUUCUCUGUAAUAGGAAGUUCACCACUAAUUAAUGGCCCCAUUGCUUUCUAUGUUAAAUUCCUCAAUUUCGAGUGGUCACAGCUCUUUUAUCUUAAGUUCAAAUAAAGUGACAAUCAUUGCAUGUCAAAGCAACACCUUCUGGUGUCCUGUACUGAAAAAAAUCAACAUACCUUACAUUGCAUAUAAGAAAGAACUGGUUCCCGGAACUUCGGAUGUACCAAAACAGGUACUUCCGAUCUGACAAAAAGGCAAAAUGUACCCUCCUUUUUAAAUUUCAUGCCAUUUUUUUAUUAUUCAAAUUUAUCAGUCAAAAAUUGUUCUGCAAUGAUCACCAGUCAUGCAGCUUUCAUUUGAUACCAAAAUUAAUAAAAUAUUCUAAAUAUAUUGAAAGUUAUGUCCAUGCGUAGGAACUAUUUUGUGUUAAAUAUGUACUACUUUCUGGUAUGUGCUUUCUGGCCGGGCCUGAAUUAGUGGUGUUACACCUUAUGU
rnacentral:lncRNA from 1 species